GUGGGGAAUUUUGGACAAUGGGCGCAAGCCUGAUCCAGCAAUGCCGCGUGCAGGAAGAAGGCCUUCGGGUUGUAAACUGCUUUUGUACGGAACGAAACGGUCCGGGUUAAUGCCCUGGGCUAAUGACGGUACCGUAAGAAUAAGCACCGGCUAACUACGUGCCAGCAGCCGCGGUAAUACGUAGGGUGCAAGCGUUAAUCGGAAUUACUGGGCGUAAAGCGUGCGCAGGCGGUUUUGUAAGACAGGCGUGAAAUCCCCGGGCUCAACCUGGGAAUUGCGCUUGUGACUGAAAGGCUGGAGUGCGGCAGAGGGGGAUGGAAUUCCGCGUGUAGCAGUGAAAUGCGUAGAUAUGCGGAGGAACACCGAUGGCGAAGGCAAUCCCCUGGGCCUGCACUGACGCUCAUGCACGAAAGCGUGGGGAGCAAACAGGAUUAGAUACCCCUGUAGUCC
rnacentral:rRNA from 1 species